GACGAACGCUGGCGGCGUGCUUAACACAUGCAAGUCGAACGGAAAGGCUCCAGCUUGCUGGAGUACUCGAGUGGCGAACGGGUGAGUAACACGUGGGUGAUCUGCCCUGCACUUCGGGAUAAGCCUGGGAAACUGGGUCUAAUACCGGAUAGGACCGCACUUUGGUGUGUGUGGUGGAAAGGUUUUUCUGGUGUGGGAUGAGCUCGCGGCCUAUCAGUUUGUUGGUGGGGUAAUGGCCUACCAAGACGGCGACGGGUAGCCGGCCUGAGAGGGUGGACGGUCACAUUGGGACUGAGAUACGGCCCAGACUCCUACGGGAGGCAGCAGUGGGGAAUAUUGCACAAUGGGGGAAACCCUGAUGCAGCGACGCCGCGUGGGGGAUGAAGGCCUUCGGGUUGUAAACUCCUUUCGCUAGGGACGAAGCUUUUUGUGACGGUAUCUGGAGAAGAAGCACCGGCUAACUACGUG
rnacentral:rRNA from 1 species